rnacentral:rRNA from 1 species
UACGUAGAUGGCAAGCGUUGUCCGGAAUUAUUGGGCGUAAAGCGCGCGCAGGCGGUCUUUUAAGUCUGAUGUGAAAGCCCACGGCUCAACCGUGGAGGGUCAUUGGAAACUGGGGGACUUGAGUGCAGGAGAGAAGAGUGGAAUUCCACGUGUAGCGGUGAAAUGCGUAGAGAUGUGGAGGAACACCAGUGGCGAAGGCGACUCUUUGGCCUGUAACUGACGCUGAGGCGCGAAAGCGUGGGGAGCAAACAGG